rnacentral:rRNA from 1 species
AACCCUUGACCUCAAAUCGGUGGAGAGUACCCGCUGAACUUAA